CACCGUGCAGUCCUGGAACUGAAGGAGAACAAAAUAUUUUCCCUCUAGAGGAAGAACCAAACAUGUUGCUCUGCAGCCUGCUGAAGGUGGUCACAGCUUCGAUGUGGCUAGGAGCUGGUGUUGCCCAGAAGGUAACCCAGUCCCAACCAGCAAUGUUGGUGCAGGAGAAGGAGGCUGUGACUCUGGACUGCACAUAUGACACCAGUGAUAGUAGUUAUGGUCUAUUCUGGUACAAGCAACCCAGCAGUGGGGAGAUGCUUCUCCUUAUUCGUCAGGACUCCUAUAACCAGCAAAAUGCAACAGAAGGUCGCUACUCAUUGAAUUUCCAGAAAGCAAGAAAAUCCAUCCACCUUGUCAUCUCAGCUUUACAACUGGGGGACUCAGCGAUCUAUUUCUGUGCUCUGAGUGAGGCCACAGUGAGAGGAUUGUUGAAGAGAGGCGUACAAAAACCCAAAGUCUUAUUUGUGAUAUCACCUGCUGUAGGGACCAAAGGAGGGAAUCACCAUCAUAGACAGGAAGUGGCUAGGCCUGUGACAGCACAGGUGUAG